rnacentral:rRNA from 1 species
GCAAGAUUAAAACUCAAAGGAAUUGACGGGGACCCGCACAAGCGGUGGAUGAUGUGGAUUAAUUCGAUGCAACGCGAAAAACCUUACCUACCCUUGACAUGUACAGAAUCCCGAAGAGAUUUGGGAGUGUUCGAAAGAAAGCUGUAACACAGGUGCUGCAUGGCUGUCGUCAGCUCGUGUCGUGAGAUGUUGGGUUAAGUCCCGCAACGAGCGCAACCCUUGUCAUUAGUUGCUACGAAAGGGCACUCUAAUGAGACUGCCGGUGACAAACCGGAGGAAGGUGGGGAUGACGUCAAGUCCUCAUGGCCCUUAUGGGUAGGGCUUCACACGUCAUACAAUGGUACAUACAGAGGGCCGCCAACCCGUGAGGGGGAGCUAAUCCCAGAAAGUGUAUCGUAGUCCGGAUUGUAGUCUGCAACUCGACUACAUGAAGUUGGAAUCGCUAGUAAUCGCGGAUCAGC